UACGUAGGGUGCGAGCGUUGUCCGGAAUUAUUGGGCGUAAAGAGCUUGUAGGCGGUCUGUCGCGUCUGCUGUGAAAAUCCGGGGCUCAACCCCGGACUUGCAGUGGGUACGGGCAGACUAGAGUGUGGUAGGGGAGACUGGAAUUCCUGGUGUAGCGGUGAAAUGCGCAGAUAUCAGGAGGAACACCGAUGGCGAAGGCAGGUCUCUGGGCCACUACUGACGCUUAGAAGCGAAAGCAUGGGGAGCGAACAGG
rnacentral:rRNA from 1 species